CCCUUAGAUGUUCUGGGCCGCACGCGCGCUACACUGAUGCAUUCAACGAGUUUCUUCCUGGUCCGAGAGGAAUGGGUAACCUUUUGAGAGUGCAUCGUGAUAGGGAUAGACUAUUGCAAUUAUUGGUCUUCAACGAGGAAUUCCUAGUAGACGUAGUUCAUCAGACUGCAUCGAUUACGUCCCUGCCCUUUGUACACACCGCCCGUCGCUCCUACCGAUUGAAUGCUCAGGUGAGCCAUUCGGACUUUCAUCAUGCUGGUUUCCAGUUUUGAUGAAGGAAAGUCUUGCGAACCUUAUCAUUUAGAGGAAGGAGAAGUCGUAACA
rnacentral:rRNA from 1 species